GGACUACUCGGGUAUCUAAUCCUGUUUGCUACCCACGCUUUCGCUCCUCAGCGUCAGUUCCGGCCCAGAGCGCCGCCUUCGCCGCUGGUGUUCCUCCUGAUAUCUGCGCAUUUCACCGCUACACCAGGAAUUCCACGCUCCCCUACCGGACUCUAGCCACAGCAGUAUCGGGUGGUGCCCCAGGUUGAGCCUGAGGAUUUGACACCCGACUUACCGAGCCGCCUACGAGCUCUUUACGCCCAAUAAAUCCGGACAACGCUUGCCCCCUACGUGUUACCGCGGCGGCUGGCAC
rnacentral:rRNA from 1 species